CGGAAUCAGAUUACUUAGAACUGAAAUAACUUCGAAAUGACGUUCAAUUUGGGAAUUCCCGGAGUUCGAACUUCCGGUUAUUUCCCUUCGGAGUUUGCAAAAUCGUGUAUUGAAAAUGAAAAUAUAAAGCUUGGUAAUUUACUAGUCUGUUGCUAUCCAUUAAGAUAGUAUAUAUGUGAAACAACAUCGGAAUUCUUUGAUAAAGUUUUAAGGUAA